GACGAACGCUGGCGGCGUGCCUAAUACAUGCAAGUCGAACGCUUCUUUCCUCCCGAGUGCUUGCACUCAAUUGGAAAGAGGAGUGGCGGACGGGUGAGUAACACGUGGGUAACCUACCCAUCAGAGGGGGAUAACACUUGGAAACAGGUGCUAAUACCGCAUAACAGUUUAUGCCGCAUGGCAUAAGAGUGAAAGGCGCUUUCGGGUGUCGCUGAUGGAUGGACCCGCGGUGCAUUAGCUAGUUGGUGAGGUAACGGCUCACCAAGGCCACGAUGCAUAGCCGACCUGAGAGGGUGAUCGGCCACACUGGGACUGAGACACGGCCCAGACUCCUACGGGAGGCAGCAGUAGGGAAUCUUCGGCAAUGGACGAAAGUCUGACCGAGCAACGCCGCGCGAGUGAAGAAGGUUUUCGGAUCGUAAAACUCUGUUGUUAGAGAAGAACAAGGACGUUAGUAACUGAACGUCCCCUGACGGUAUCUAACCAGAAAGCCACGGCUAACUACGUG
rnacentral:rRNA from 1 species